rnacentral:rRNA from 1 species
CGACCCCAGGUCAGGCGGGGUUAUCCGCUGAAUUUAAGCA